GUCCAACUGUCCCCAUUUUACAGGUGGGGAGACUGAAGUCCAGAAAGUCAAGCCAAAUGAUCUGGUUCAUGUAGUUAGCUAAUGGUUCUAGGGACCAUUUGGGGGCUUUCAACAUAUGAAUCCUCACAACAAACCCAUGAGAGCUUGUGGUAAACUGCAGACACAAUGAAUGAAGCAGACUGCAACGGAGGAAGGACAAGUCUCAGAGCAAUCCAAAAGGGACUUAAAAUGCAGGUCUUCAUGCCAUAUAUAAAAAUUAACUAAAAAAUG